rnacentral:pre_miRNA from 1 species
AUGGGUAUGAGUCACAGUCAUGCGGUCAUUGUAAACCAUGACUAGAUCCAUACUCAGCU